GGGGAUGUAAUGGUCUCGACGGGGGCAGGUGGUGCAUGGGUAGCGAGCCGGGGGUCACCAUCCCGUCAGCAAGGUGAAACUUUUAUUAAACAUAAAAGCUAACGAAGACUACGCUUUGGCGGCUUGACGCCAACCUCUGCCGGUUUGUGCCUGUGCGGACAGGACAGAGGCCAGUCACAGGAUACCUGAAGGUCGUUUCUCGUAGGCCGGAAAGGGAAUUUUUUCGGGAUCGGAUCAUGGAAGCCUGCUCAUAGGCGUCUCUGGUCUUAAAACAAGUAUGAGCUUCGCUCGAAGAAGCCUGUGAAACAAUGCUUUCGGACAGGAGUUCGAUUCUCCUCAUCUCCACCA
rnacentral:tmRNA from 1 species